ensembl:lncRNA
GUAGCCUAGUGGUUAGAGCAGGUAGCCUAGUGGUUAGAGCAGGUAGCCUAGUGGUUAGAGCCAGGUAGCCUAGUGGUUAGAGCCAGGUAGCCUAGUGGUUAGAGCCAGGUAGCCUAGUGGUUCGAGCAGGUAGCCUAGUGUUUCGAACAGGUAGACUAGUGGUUCGAGCAGGUAGCCUAGUGGUUAGAGAAGGUAGCCUAGUUUUUAGAGCAGGUAGCCUAGUGUUUCGAACAGGUAGACUAGUGGUUCGAGCAGGUAGCCUAGUGGUUAGAGAAGGUAGCCUAGUUUUUAGAGCAGGUAGCCUAGUGGUUAGAGCAGGUAGCCUAGUGGUUAGAGCAGGUAGCCUAGUGGUUAGAGAAAGUAGCCUAGUGGUUAGAGCAGGUAGCCUAGUGGUUAGAGAAGGUAGCCUAGUGGUUAGAGCAGGUAGCCUAGUGGUUAGAGCAGGUUGCAGAGCACAUAUCUCAACCCAAACACUCAUCAACACAGAGGUGGAUACUGGGGCGGCAGGUAGCCUAGUGGUUAGUGGUUAGAGCAGGUAGCCUAGUGGUUAGAGCAGGUAGCCUAGUGGUUAGUGGUUAGAGCAGGUAGCCUAGUGGUUAGUGGUUAGAGCAGGUAGCCUAGUGGUUAGUGGUUAGAGCAGGUAGCCUAGUGGAUAGUGGUUAGAGCAGGUAGCCUAGUGGUUAGUGGUUAGAGCAGGUAGCCUAGUGGUUAGUGGUUAGAGCAAGUAGCCUAGUGGUUAGUGGUUAGAGCAGGUAGCCUAGUGGAUAGUGGUUAGAGCAGGUAGCCUAGUGGUUAGUGGUUAGAGCAGGUAGCCUAGUGGUUAGUGGUUAGAGCAAGUAGCCUAGUGGUUAGUGGUUAGAGCAGGUAGCCUAGUGGUUAGAGCAGGUAGCCUAGUGGUUAGAGCAGGUAGCCUAGUGGUUAGAGCAGG